AGAGCCUGGACCUACAGCGCUGUUGGUGGAGGUCCUGCCUCCAGGAAUAGAUGGACAUGGCCUGGCAGAUGAUGCAGCUGCUGCUUCUGGCUUUGGUGACUGCUGCGGGGAGUGCCCAGCCCAGGAGUGCGCGGGCCAGGACGGACCUGCUCAAUGUCUGCAUGAACGCCAAGCACCACAAGACACAGCCCAGCCCCGAGGACGAGCUGUAUGGCCAGGUGGGAGCUCCUCAAGGGCCCUCCCCAGGAAGUGUUCCUCUGGAUGACCUACCUGGGGCAGAGGAGCCAGAAUAUGGAGGAGAUGGCUGUGGUGGGGAGAGACUUAGUCCUGUGUCUUCCCCACCCAGUGCAGUCCCUGGAAGAAGAAUGCCUGCUGCACGGCCAGCACCAGCCAGGAGCUGCACAAGGACACCUCCCGCCUGUACAACUUUAACUGGGAUCACUGUGGUAAGAUGGAACCCACCUGCAAGCGCCACUUUAUCCAGGACAGCUGUCUCUAUGAGUGCUCACCCAACCUGGGGCCCUGGAUCCGGCAGGUCAACCAGAGCUGGCGCAAAGAGCGCAUUCUGAACGUGCCCCUGUGCAAAGAGGACUGUGAGCGCUGGUGGGAGGACUGUCGCACCUCCUACACCUGCAAAAGCAACUGGCACAAAGGCUGGAAUUGGACCUCAGGGAUUAAUGAGUGUCCGGCCGGGGCCCUCUGCAGCACCUUUGAGUCCUACUUCCCCACUCCAGCCGCCCUUUGUGAAGGCCUCUGGAGCCACUCCUUCAAGGUCAGCAACUAUAGUCGAGGGAGCGGCCGCUGCAUCCAGAUGUGGUUUGACUCAGCCCAGGGCAACCCCAAUGAGGAGGUGGCCAAGUUCUAUGCUGCGGCCAUGAAUGCUGGGGCCCCGUCUCGUGGGAUUAUUGAUUCCUGAUCCAAGAAGGGUCCUCUGGGGUUCUUCCAACAACCUAUUCUAAUAGACAAAUCCACAUGUG